UACAGAGGUCCCAAGCGUUGUUCGGAUUCACUGGGCGUAAAGGGUGCGUAGGCGGUCGGGUAAGUCUGACGUGAAAUCUCCAAGCUCAACUUGGAAAUGGCGUCGGAUACUAUUCGGCUCGAGGAAUGGAGGGGAGACUGGAAUUCUCGGUGUAGCAGAGAAAUGCGUAGAUAUCGAGAGGAACACCAGUGGCGAAGGCGAGUCUCUGGACAUUUCCUGACGCUGAGGCACGAAAGCCAGGGGAGCAAACGGG
rnacentral:rRNA from 1 species